rnacentral:rRNA from 1 species
GGAAGGUGCAAGCGUUAAUCGGAAUUACUGGGCGUAAAGCGCGCGUAGGCGGUUAGAUAAGUCGGGUGUGAAAGCCCCGGGCUCAACCUGGGAACUGCAUUCGAUACUGUUUGACUAGAGUGUGAUAGAGGGAGGCGGAAUUCCGCAUGUAGCGGUGAAAUGCGUAGAGAUGCGGAGGAACACCAAUGGCGAAGGCAGCCUCCUGGAUUAACACUGACGCUGAGGUGCGAAAGCGUGGGGGAGCAAACAGGAUUAGAUACCCUGGUAGUCCACGCUGUAAACCGAUGUCAACUAGCCGUUGGGAGCAAUUUGGCUCUUGGUGGCGCAGCUAACGCGAUAAGUUGACCCGCCUGGGGAGUACGGUCGCAAGAUUA